AUAAAUCUCCCCCACUGAGCAUAAAACAGAAAAACAAUCUCUAAUAAAUAUAAUCUGUCAUUUCUUAGUGCUAUAAAUUAUUUUCAGAACUGUCUAAAUAUUGGCAGCCACUACAGUUUCAACAGUAGAUGCCACUCAGCUUUCUGGAUCACUUUAUGUGGGCGGCCCCUUGAGAAAGUGAGGCACGAAACGAUGUUGGUGCAUUGGUACGGUGACAAAUAAUGGGUUAUUGAAGAUGAAUACGUCCAGCGGCUCUGUGGAGGCUGAUAUGUUCCUGACCUAUUGUUCAUGAGGUUUUGUUCCUGUUCGUUCAGGUUCCUGCGGUCCUGUUUACCAUGUUGGCAGACAUCCUCACGUCGGAGAAGUUCCAGUACUUCAAGAUAGUACCUUCCGUGCUGAAAGCCGCAUAAAGAAAGAGGAUGAGUGGUUCCAGAGAGUCCUUUAUAUAUGAGCCAGUCGGGCUAGGAGGGGUGAAGAGGAUGACAAGGGCUGCUGGGAGAUGUAGUCCAAAAAGUUUUUCUUUGAAAUAUAUGUUAUGAAUGUUUUUAUUUUUAUUUUUUUUAAUUUCUGCUAU